rnacentral:rRNA from 9 species
GGGUUGUGAGGUUAAGCGACCAAGCGUACACGGUGGAUGCCCUGGCAGUCAGAGGCGAUGAAGGACGUGCUAAUCUGCGAAAAGCGCCGGUAAGGUGAUAUGAACCGUUAUAACCGGCGAUGUCCGAAUGGGGAAACCCAGUGUGACUCGUCACACUAUCAUUAACUGAAUCCAUAGGUUAAUGAGGCGAACCGGGGGAACUGAAACAUCUAAGUACCCCGAGGAAAAGAAAUCAACCGAGAUUCCCCCAGUAGCGGCGAGCGAACGGGGAGGAGCCCAGAGCCUGAAUCAGCAUGUGUGUUAGUGGAAGCGUCUGGAAAGGCGCGCGAUACAGGGUGACAGCCCCGUACACAAAAGCGCAUGUGCUGUGAGCUCGAUGAGUAGGGCGGGACACGUGGUAUCCUGUCUGAAUAUGGGGGGACCAUCCUCCAAGGCUAAAUACUCCUGACUGACCGAUAGUGAACCAGUACCGUGAGGGAAAGGCGAAAAGAACCCCGGCGAGGGGAGUGAAACAGAACCUGAAACCGUGUACGUACAAGCAGUGGGAGC